rnacentral:rRNA from 1 species
GACGAACGCUGGCGGCGUGCCUAACACAUGCAAGUGGAGCGACGAACCAGGCUUCGGCCUGGGGCAAGGCCGCGAACGGGUGAGUAACACGUGGGUAACCUGCCCUGAUGAUUGGGACAACCCGAGGAAACUCGGGCUAAUACCGAAUGUGCCCUCCGGCCUCAAGGCCGCUGGGGAAAGGAAGCUUCGGCCUCCGCAUCGGGAUGGGCCCGCGGCCCAUUAGCUUGUUGGUGAGGUAACGGCNCACCAAGGCGACGAUGGGUAGCUGGUCUGAGAGGACGAUCAGCCACACUGGGACUGAGACACGGCCCAGACUCCUACGGGAGGCAGCAGUGGGGAAUCUUGCGCAAUGCGCGAAAGCGUGACGCAGCAACGCCGCGUGGGGGAAGAAGGCCUGG